rnacentral:rRNA from 1 species
GAUGAACGCUAGCGGCAGGCCUAAUACAUGCAAGUCGAGGGGUAUAAGGUGCUUGCACCUUAGAGACCGGCGCACGGGUGCGUAACGCGUAUGCAACCUACCUUAAUCAGGGGGAUAGCCCGGAGAAAUCCGGAUUAACACCGCAUAACAUGUAGAAGUGGCAUCACUUUAACAUCAAAUAUUAAUAGGAUUAAGAUGGGCAUGCGUGACAUUAGUUAGUUGGUGAGGUAACGGCUCACCAAGACCACGAUGUCUAGGGGAUCUGAGAGGAUGACCCCCACACUGGUACUGAGACACGGACCAGACUCCUACGGGAGGCAGCAGUAAGGAAUAUUGGUCAAUGGGCGCAAGCCUGAACCAGCCAUGCCGCGUGCAGGAAGACGGCCCUACGGGUUGUAAACUGCUUUUGUACCGGAAUAAACCUUCUCUUGCGAGAGAAGCUGAACGUACGGUAAGAAUAAGGAUCGGCU